AGAGUUUGAUCAUGGCUCAGGAUGAACGCUAGCUACAGGCUUAACACAUGCAAGUCGAGGGGAAGCGGCAUUAAGUGCUUGCACUUUUUGGACGUCGACCGGCGCACGGGUGAGUAACGCGUAUCCAACCUGCCCCUUACCAGGGGAAUAACCCGUUGAAAGACGGACUAAUGCCCUAUGGAGUCCUUUGACGGCAUCAGAUUAGGACUAAAGAUUCAUCGGUAUGGGAUGGGGAUGCGUCUGAUUAGCUUGUUGGCGGGGUAACGGCCCACCAAGGCAUCGAUCAGUAGGGGGUUCUGAGAGGAACGGUCCCCCACAUAGGAACUGAGACACGGUCCUAACUCCUACGGGAGGCAGCA
rnacentral:rRNA from 1 species